UCUCUCUGUCUCUCUUUCUCUUCUCUCUCUUUCAUAGUAUUAGAAAAGGAAAAAAUGGCUAGCAUUAUUGAAAACAUGAAGAGAGGCUUUGGUUAUCUUGUUGACAUUGUAUCUGGUGGAAGCAAAAGCGCGACGGAAAAUAAUGGAGAAAAGCCAGAGCUCAAAGUUGAGGUUAAAUUAGCUCAGACGACAGCUCGAGAAACCACCAAUGAUAGACCCCCUCCUCCUAGCGUUGAAUCAACUUAGAAAAUAAAAUAAAUAAAUACAUUAUCCGAUCAAUAAUAUUUUGGUUGUACUUUUAUAUAUUUAUAUUUAUCUCGCCAUAUUUUUAUUUUGUUUUAGGUGUAUUUAAUAUGUAAUAAUUGCCGGAUAGGCAUUUGUUAUAAGU